UACGGGGGGGGCAAGCGUUGUUCGGAAUUACUGGGCGUAAAGGGCUCGUAGGCGGCCAACUAAGUCAGACGUGAAAUCCCCCGGCUCAACCGGGGAACGGGCACCGAUACGACCGUCCUGGAGGGACGUAGGGGGACCUGGAACUUCCGGUGGAGCGGUGAAAUGCGUUGAGAUCGGAAGGAACGCCCGUGGCGAAAGCGAGGUCCUGGACGUUUUCUGACGCUGAGACGCGAAAGCCAGGGGAGCGAACGGG
rnacentral:rRNA from 1 species